UACGGAGGAUCCGAGCGUUAUCCGGAUUUAUUGGGUUUAAAGGGAGCGUAGGUGGAUUGUUAAGUCAGUUGUGAAAGUUUGCGGCUCAACCGUAAAAUUGCAGUUGAAACUGGCAGUCUUGAGUACAGUAGAGGUGGGCGGAAUUCGUGGUGUAGCGGUGAAAUGCAUAGAUAUAACUUAGAACACCGAUAGCGAAGGCAGCUUACAAGACUGAGUCUGACGCUGAUGCACGAGAGCAUGGGUAGCGAACGGG
rnacentral:rRNA from 1 species